rnacentral:lncRNA from 1 species
AUCUAAGCACUGGCAUCAGAUGGAUUCCUGCUCUCUUAUACUUUAUGCUCCAGAGCAAGUAAGCCCGACUAGUGCACCUUCCAGCUUUUAAUACUGGAGAUGAGUAGGCACAUUAGGUGGAAGAAGGUGUCCAAUGUUAAUUUUCAUUGCUGUGGCGAUGAGAUACACUUCUUAAUAUGACUCAAAAGAAUCCUGUCUUUCUACUCUAUCUCUAAUAAUGUUUCUGUUUGUUUGCCUUCAAUAGUUUCUUGUAAAAAAAGCUACACUGGAUUCUCGAAGGAUUCACAGAGACCUAAAAGACAUUGACCUCAGCACCACUCUUCUAGGACCUUGGAGAAGGAUGGAAAAUGUGAAAAAUAGAAGUAAGGUAUAAGAAGCCUAUAUUAUUCUGUAUUGAAGGAACCAAAGCCGUGUUACCAGAUUCAGUUGUUAUUGUGUAGUAUCAGUAGUAAAAAAGACUUUACAUGUGUGUGUACACGGCGCGUAUGUGUUUUCACAUGCCUGCUGAACUGUAGGCAGACUGGAGCAGAACAUUCACUUCAGUACAUAUGCUCCACUUCAAAAACCAAAUCUGGCGUUCUCCUUAAUUUUCAGAAUUCAAGUGCAAGUUUAUCCAAGCAAGCUUGUAUUUAGAUUCCCGCUCUGCAGUGUCAUGUGCUGCCCAUUUCCAUGGCAGUGUGUAUGUCUGGGGCUCUGCAAAUCAUCGCUGAGAGGUGUGCUCCAAAACUCUGCAAGGAGAAGCCUCCCUCUCUUCAAGGGAAGGGAGGACAUACCGACAACACUGAGUCCAGCACGAUCUGCAAAGUGCUCCUCCUUCCUUUUAUCCUGGACUAGACAGUAGUGGUACUGGGGUCUAUACACAGAAUGUGCAUGCAUAGGCUAUCACUCUCCAUGUCCCACUCUUUGGAGGCAUUGCUAUUCAUUCCACAACACAACUAGCAAUGAAGGCACGUGCUCCCACUCUCAGCCUCCACAAUGACAGCCCACUGAAGGGAGGGCACACGUUAGUGACUACCCCUGCAACUAUCCGGGGCCCACUGCGACUAAUAGGCAAAAAUCCAAAUGUUUGGAGUCUGCAUGUGAAGAGU